UGUGAAACGCCCUUUACCCCCUCUUAGGGACAAGGAGCUGGUAUCAGGCACGAAAAUCUGCCCAAAACACCUAGCUACGCCACACCCACAAGGGAACUCAGCAGUGAUUAACAUUGAGCAUUAGCGCAAGCUUGACUCAGUUAAAGUAAGUAGAGCCGGCUAAUCUGGUGCCAGCCGCCGCGGUUACACCACGUGGCUCAAAUUGACUUCCUCCGGCGUAAAGCGUGAUUAAAGUUAAACCCAACUAGAGUUAAAUUAAAACUAAGCUGUGACACGCUUGUUCCCAUAAACGAAAGUUACUCUAUUAUAAUCAACUUGAAUUCACGACAGCUGGGACACAAACUGGGAUUAGAUACCCCACUAUGCCCAGCCGUAAACUUUUAUUU
rnacentral:rRNA from 1 species